rnacentral:lncRNA from 11 species
UAUUUGUGGGGGUAGUUUCCUUGUGAGAUCAAUGUUUAUAGAGAAAGCGUCUUCAAGGACAACAUGGUGCUUAGAGAUUCUGGACAGACAGAAGGAAGCCCUUCCAGAGCAGGAGGUGGAGAUGCAAGGGCAGGAACCGGGACCUGCCAAGCGCCUCACUGCUGCUCAAAGGUUUGCAAAGCCACUGUCAUUUAGCUUGACCGUGACACUACUUUAAU